rnacentral:rRNA from 1 species
AUUGAACGCUGGCGGCAUGCCUUACACAUGCAAGUCGAACGGUAACAGGUCUUCGGAUGCUGACGAGUGGCGAACGGGUGCGUAAUACAUCGGAACGUGCCCGAUCGUGGGGGAUAACGAGGCGAAAGCUUUGCUAAUACCGCAUACGAUCUACGGAUGAAAGCGGGGGAUCUUCGGACCUCGCGCGGACGGAGCGGCCGAUGGCAGAUUAGGUAGUUGGUGGGAUAAAAGCUUACCAAGCCGACGAUCUGUAGCUGGUCUGGGAGGAUGAUCAGCCACACUGGGACUGAGACACGGCCCAGACUCCUACGGGAGGCAGCAGUGGGGAAUUUUGGACAAUGGGCGAAAGCCUGAUCCAGCCAUGCCGCGUGCAGGAUGAAGGCCUUCGGGUUGUAAACUGCUUUUGUACGGAACGAAAAGCCUCUUUCUAAUAAAGAGGGGUCAUGACGGUACCGUAAGAAUAAGCACCGGCUAACUACGUG